rnacentral:rRNA from 1 species
ACGAACGCUGGCGGCGUGCUUAACACAUGCAAGUCGAACGAGACGAUUGAAAGCUUGCUUUGAAAGUCGAGUGGCAAACGGGUGAGUAACGCGUAGACAACCUGCCGCAAAGAUGGGGACAACAGUUCGAAAGGACUGCUAAUACCGAAUGUUGUAUCUUUCCCGCAUGGGAGGGAUAUUAAAGAUGGCCUCUACUUGUAAGCUAUCGCUUUGCGAUGGGUCUGCGUCUGAUUAGCUGGUUGGUGGGGUAACGGCCUACCAAGGCGACGAUCAGUAGCCGGUCUGAGAGGAUGAACGGCCACAUUGGAACUGAGACACGGUCCAGACUCCUACGGGAGGCAGCAGUGGGGAAUCUUCCGCAAUGGGCGGAAGCCUGACGGAGCAACGCCGCGUGAGUGAAGAAGGGUUUCGGCUCGUAAAGCUCUGUUGACGGGGACGAACGUGCGAGAUGCGAAUAGUUUCUUGCAAUGACGGUACCCGUCGAGGAAGCCACGGCUAACUACGUGCCAGCCGCCGC